UUACACCACACACAUUAAUCUGGAGAGGAUACAUAAGCUCCAAAAACGUGCUGCAAGAUUAGUUUUAUCUGUUCCUUUUGAUUUUCCAUCAACAGUAAUGUUUAAAAAACUUGCAUGGAUGACAUAUUUACGAGGAUACACUAUUUUCAAGCUGUGUUAAUGUUUAAGUGUAUGAAUGGUCUAGCACCUGACUAUCUAUCUAUUAAAUUUACUGCUUGUGCUGAUCUUUAUAAUUAUUGUCUGAGGUCGACAACAUCAGGACUUCUCCAUGUACCAAGACCUAAUUCUGAUUUUUUAAAAAGAACAUUUAAAUAUUCUGGUCUUAUUACCUGGAAUAAUUUACCAAAUAAUAUUAAAGAAAUAGACAAUUUAGAUACAUUUAAGACCAACUGUUCAAACUAUUUU
rnacentral:lncRNA from 1 species